CAUGUUUGGAUAGCAAGGCCUACCCAUUGAAUUUAAACAUUGUGACUUUAACCUCUGACCUCUGCUUUUCUCAUCCAGAUACUGUAAUUUCUUGGUGCUUGUUGCAUUCUGAACAUUUUUAGCUUUCCUAAUGUCAUGUAACAUUAAAGUUUUAGCCUUUGACUCAUGUUUGGAUAGCAAGGCCUACCCAUUGCAUUUAAACAUUGUGACUUUAACCUCUGACCUAUGCUUUCCUCAUCCAGAUACUGUAAAAUCUUGGUGCUCGUUGCAUUAUGCAUGUGUUUAGCUUAACUAAUUUCAUUUAUAAUGUAAGUUUACAGCCUGUGACUCAUGGUUGGAUAGCAAGGCCUACCUAUUGCAUUAAACAGUGUGACUUUAACCUCUGAAAUAUACUUUUCUCAUUCAGACACCCACCAUGAGCCACACAAGUGCAAUCAUGGAGGAGAUUGCGGUGGAGCUGAAGGAAUUUCUUAUGCCCAUGGACAUUCCUGGCAUGCAGUCAGAGGGCCUUCCGAGAACUGGCCUUUUCUCAAGUUAUCGCCCUGAAGAUGACUCCGUGGAUCCUCUCCAGUGUGGUUAGAUGGGCCUGGGGCAACAGUCCUCCACACUGAAGGCUAUUUAAUUGUUUUUAUUUAUCUAUGUCAUUGUUUAUCUAUUUAAAACUGUAUCUUGUGUUUUAAUAAAGUUUAAAAUGUGUUUUAA